rnacentral:rRNA from 1 species
UGGGGAAUAUUGCACAAUGGGCGCAAGCCUGAUGCAGCCAUGCCGCGUGUGUGAAGAAGGCCUUCGGGUUGUAAAGCACUUUCAGCGAGGAGGAAGGUGGUGAACUUAAUACGUUCAUCAAUUGACGUUACUCGCAGAAGAAGCACCGGCUAACUCCGUGCCAGCAGCCGCGGUAAUACGGAGGGUGCAAGCGUUAAUCGGAAUUACUGGGCGUAAAGCGCACGCAGGCGGUUUGUUAAGUCAGAUGUGAAAUCCCCGGGCUCAACCUGGGAACUGCAUUUGAAACUGGCAAGCUAGAGUCUCGUAGAGGGGGGUAGAAUUCCAGGUGUAGCGGUGAAAUGCGUAGAGAUCUGGAGGAAUACCGGUGGCGAAGGCGGCCCCCUGGACGAAGACUGACGCUCAGGUGCGAAAAGCGUGGGGAGCAAAACAGGAUUAGAUACCCUGGUAGUCCACGCUGUAAAACGAUGUCGAUUUUGGAGGUUGUGCCCUUGAGGCGUGGCUUCCGGAGCUAACGCGUUAAAUCGACCGCCUGGGGAGUAC